CCUACGGGGAGCAGCAGUGAGGAAUAUUGGUCAAUGGACGCAAGUCUGAACCAGCCAUGCCGCGUGCAGGAAGACGGCUCUAUGAGUUGUAAACUGCUUUUGUACGAGGGUAAACGCAGAUACGCGUAUCUGUCUGAAAGUAUCGUACGAAUAAGGAUCGGCUAACUCCGUGCCAGCAGCCGCGGUAAUACGGAGGAUUCAAGCGUUAUCCGGAUUUAUUGGGUUUAAAGGGUGCGUAGGCGGUCGGAUAAGUUAGAGGUGAAAUCCCGAGGCUCAACUUCGGAAUUGCCUCUGAUACUGUUAGGCUAGAGAGUAGUUGCGGUAGGCGGAAUGUAUGGUGUAGCGGUGAAAUGCUUAGAGAUCAUACAGAACACCGAUUGCGAAGGCAGCUUACCAAGCUACGUCUGACGUUGAGGCACGAAAGCGUGGGGAGCAAACAGGAUUAGAUACCCGAGUAGUC
rnacentral:rRNA from 1 species